UUUAUCCGUUAGGCCUAAUAAACCGCUUCGGAUUCAAUUUUUCCUGCACCGGCCCUGCCCUUCCAAACCCUAAACCUCAGUUAUCUUCUAACGUCUCUCUGCUCUCGCAACCUCUCUUCUCUCUCUACCAUAGCUUUAAUCUCUCUCUACCCUCCUCCCUCUUCUCUCUGACCUAACUUCUCUCUACUUGAAAGUAACAUAACAUUCACACGCUCAUUUGGAAGUCCAGCUUCUGUUUUGAUGCUGUCAACUGGUAUUCCCAAGCAAAAAUUCAUCCUCAAACCAUCGUACGCGAAUAAAUUCCAUGCUUUUGAUAUCCAAAGUUGAUUGGGUUGGUUUCUAAUGUGAACAAGUAUAUUGAAGGGGAUAAAUUGAAGGUUAGCUGAAAUCUUUUGGAUUUUUUUAUAGGCAUAAUUAAUAUUUAUGGAUUCAGAAAAUUUUUCACGAUUGUGGGUUUUCGAUGAUUUUUGGUGGCCUUUACUUGAUGUUUGUUUUUAUCUUUGUGAUUGACGAAAGUAAAAUUUAUUCAUGCAUUGGCUUUGUGAAAUGAGAGCUGAUUCUUACAAUAGUAUAUUAACUUUUCUAUGGGGAGCCUAUUAUAGAACUGCACAAAAAACCAAAUUCUUGAUUAGAAUGCAAGGUUAUUAUUUUGCUAUAAUGAAACCAAAUUCUUGAUUAGAAUAUUAUUAUGCUAGAAUAAAAUCUUAUUAUAGACUUGCUUUUUGAGAUUAUUUUAUUUUUUAGUUUUUGGGGUCAAAUCUAUAUGAUGCAUUGGUUUUUGGAUUUUGAUAUUUAAUUAGGUCUUUUGUGAUUGACAAUAUCUUUUUUGGUGCAUUAUUGCAAUAUUGUUGAGAAUAUUUGUCACACUUUUGCUGAAUAAGUUACUCAAAAAAAGAAUUGGGUUAAUUAUUAAUGGAAAACAAUGGGUUAGGUAUGUCAUUUGAAAUUAUCCAGUUUGGGCCAGUGUUACCAUGUGACAGGCCACCAAACCAGUCAAGGGUAUGCUCCAGUCAAAUCACUCAGACCGCCAGUCAAACUGGCUGGAUUAGAUUUUAAAAAAUAAAGAGAAGUAAAAAAAACUAUCUAAAAAUAUGAAAUAUAUUAUAUAAAAAGUUGCCCAAUUUUGGGUCUAACCAGACAGAACCUCGGUCCAACUUACCAAAACUAAUCAAACAUAGGUUUUGACUGGUUUUCCAACGAACUCGAUUUUUGCUGACCGGUCAAGGAAUUUUUUGUAAUCCAAUUGGAUUGAUCAGCCGGUAUGUUACAAUCUUGGUAACUAUUGUUUCAAGUACCAUGUGCUUUACAUGAAUGAUUAAAAGAUAGUUAGUCACCUGUAUAAGAUAGCGAGUCAUAAAAGGGGUUUUCUUAUAAUAUGUCAUGGUAAUAUCAAUUAAAAAAGGGAAAAACACACAGAUCCCCACUCCACAAAAUGCAUCUCAUUUAGAUCCUUUUCUAUUGAUCCCCUUUCUUUUAUCAGACGUAAACCCCCGUCCCCACUUUUUUCCUAGUACCAAUUACUAAACAAUCCCUAUUUUUUGUUUAAUUUCAACAUCAUCCAAAAUAAAAAAUGAGCUAUUCAAAACUGAAUCUCUCAUGAACCUGUCUCUUCCCUAUCUUCAACACAGACACAGACACAAACUCUUUCUCUCUCUGCCUCUCUCUUAACACACUCCUAUCUCUACCCCUUCACUCUCUCUCUCUCUAUCCCUUAUAUGCAAGGAACCAAUUUAGUCGCAAAAGAUUGUUACGAUAAGCAUUGACUUAGUUGCAGAGGAAGUUCAUAUUGAGAAGCCGAGAUGCAGCAUGAUGAGGUCAUAUGGCAAAUCAUUCGGCACAAACAUUGUAGUUUCAUGGCCAAAACUACAACUCAGAUUUUUUGUCGAAAUGAGUACAAUGUGACAGGUCUCUGCAACCGGAGCUCUUGCCCACUUGCCAAUAGUCGGUAUGCAACAAUCGGUGAACAUGAAGGGAUACUGUAUUUGUAUAUGAAGUCGAUAGAAAGGGCCCAUAUGCCAAACAAGUUGUGGGAAAGAGUAAAACUUCCCAGGAGCUAUGAGAAGGCACUGCAAACUAUUGACAAGCAUUUGCAACAUUGGCCCAAGUUUCUUGUCCAUAAAAACAAGCAACGUCUCACCAAAAUGACUCAGUAUUUGAUAAGGAAGAGGAAGCUAGCAUUGAAAGUUCGGGACAAAAUUAUGACCAUGCCUACAAAUAGAAGAAGAGAGAAGCUAGAAGAGAGGCAAAAGCAGAAAUGGCGGCUGUUUUGGAUAGAGCUAUUGAAAAGGAAUUGCUAGAACGACUGAAGAGUGGAACAUAUGGUGACAUAUACAAUUUCCCUAUUGAGCAAUAUGAGAAGGCGGUUGGAAAAAUAGAGGUUGCUGGUGAAGAGGACGAUGAAGAAGAGGAGCCAGAAGUGGAGUUUGUUGAAGCUCCUGAACUUGAGGAAGAAGAAGAUAUGGAAGAUUUUAUUGGAUUCCCUAUGGAUGAUGCUCAUAUGAGUGACGAUGAUGGGACAAUGGAUGAAGACCCCAUCAGUGAUGGAACUAGUUCAAAGAGAUUGCAUGAAAAUUCAAUAUUAGAUGAAAGAAAACUUGAGGCAGAUGGUGGCAAAGCAAAAUCUAAAAAGAAACCUCGACUACAUGUGGAGAUAUUAUUUCAUCUUUUGCUUUGCAACGUUCAAUGGAUUCAAUGGACAUGCCUGCAACUAGCCUUCCUGGUUCUGCGACUGCAUCAGGUUGAAUACGAAGAUGCUGCUGACAAAGAGAGAGCCUUUUGAUGGGAAGUCCAGAGAUUUCCACUACCCAAUUUCACGUAUCCUUCCUCGAGUGUCACAGAGCAUUGUGCAGUAAUUUUCUCCCCUUGUUUGCUUCCUAGAUGUCAUUAGCCUAUCCAAAUGGCUGGCUAGGAAUCAAAUUCAACAAGGGCAGCCAUAUCCGUUUAGCGAGAGAGAGAGAGAGAGAGAGAUUUGCAUGUACUUAUUGAGUAGGAUAUAUAUGGCAAUGAUCUAAUGCAACGGUUGUAUCAUAGUAUAAUGUAACAACAUUUCAUGUUUGUGGU